AUGCACUCGCUGCUAAGCGUUCCAUGUUGCAGCACUCGGUGAUUUUGAAACCAAGUGCAAGCCAGCGGCUGAUCGUGGACCCUGCAGUGGCCGCAUUCCGUUGUGGGCUUUCAACGUCACAAAAGGCCGAUGUCAGCGAUUCUACUACGGCGGUUGUGACGGGAACGAGAACAAGCACUACACGAGGAGCCAAUGCGAAUCGACCUGCGUUAUUUCGGAUGCUUCUAGAAAUGGGGGAAGGCCGGAAGAGCUGCGGGAAUACAGCAACGAUCUUGUACCCGUCCCCGAAGUGCCUAGCCUUAUGUGGUCCGUGCUCACUAACCCUGCCUGCCUCCUUCCGCCCGACCGAGGCAUGUGUUCCGGCUAUCUCUAUCGCUUCUUCUACGACGCCACCUUCAGAACAUGUCAGGGCUUCGUCUACGGUGGUUGUGGCGGCAAUUCAAAUAACUUCGCCAGCCUCGACCAGUGUUACGAAGCCUGCAGUCCGAGGCAACGCCUGCUACCACACACGUAAUGCCGCCGGACUCAUUGCCAACUGUGCCGUUCUAACAUUUAUUGGACAUGCUCGCAAGUCGAAUAAAGUACCCGACAUCAUGAAAAAAUACC